CGGGGUGCAGCAGGCGCGAAAACUUUACAAUGUUGGAAACCGCGAUUGGGGGACCUCGAGUGCCUCGUUACAAAUCUGGCUGUCGUGAUGCCUAAAAACCAUUGCAAAUCAGGGGCGGGGCAAUACCGGUGCCACCCGCCGCGGUAACACCGGCCGUUCGAGUGGUAACCGUUAUUAUUGGGUCUAAAGGGUCUGUACCCGGUCGUGAUAAUUCUCUUGGGAAAUCCCCUACCUCAACUGUUGGGCUUUCAAGAUAUACUGUAUGGCUCGAGGCCGAGAGAGGUAAGAGGUACUUCGGGGGUAGGGGUGAAAUCUUGAAAUCCUUGAAAGACCACCUGUGGAGAAGGCUUCUCACCAGAACGUACCUGACUGAGAGAUACAAACUCUAGGAGCACAAACCAGAUUAUAUACCCGGGUACUCCUAUCCGUAAAAUAUACUCUCUAGGUGUCAGCCACUGAGCGACCGUUGUCUGUGCCAUAGGGAACCCUUGAAUCGAGCCACCUGAGAAGUACAGCCGCAUGGCUGAAACUUAAAAGAAUUGGCGGGAGAGCAC
rnacentral:rRNA from 1 species